rnacentral:rRNA from 1 species
UACGAACUGUGCGAACGUUAUUCGGAAUCACUGGGCUUACAGGGUGCGUAGGCGGCUUUGCAAGUCAGGUGUGAAAGCCCCCGGCUCAACCGGGGAAUUGCGCUUGAAACUGCAGGGCUCGAGUCAGCUAGAGGUACACGGAACUUCCAGUGGAGCGGUGAAAUGUGUUGAUAUUGGAAGGAACACCGGAGGCGAAAGCGGUGUACUGGGGCUGGUCUGACGCUGAGGCACGAAAGCCAGGGGAGCGAACGGG